UGAGAAAAGCAGAAGUGAGAGCUUCUCGCCUUGCGACUAACGUUGUCUGGCCCUACAUGUAAAACAUCUUGUGAUGAUUACUCGUAGUGCGGACUGUUAAAGCAGUCCGCUUUGUUUUUCUCUA
rfam:Streptococcus sp. DD12 genomic scaffold scaffold00001, whole genome shotgun sequence.